CUUUCAUCACCCGUUAUGACGCUGACCAAUGAGCGAGCGUCUCGUUGGUGUCGCCUUUGCGGCGGCCAAUCAGAGAGCGAGAAGACUUUACCCGCAAAUGACCGCCAAACAGCCUUUAUGUAACGGCCAACAAAAACGUAGCCAAGCGCUGUCCUCGUGCUCCCCCCGUCUUUAAUUUAUGGCUGUUUAUCACCAAACAUGUCGUCAAAGUAAACUACCGUUGAGAUAGCAACGGUACCCAAACAACAUAAAGGUGAUUAAAGAGCGUAACUUACCCGCCCCUGUGCCGCAGCACGGCGGGAUCCACCAGGCGGACGAGAAGAGCGUCGUCAUGACUUCCUCCGGGAACAGCGUCACGUUUCUCUGGAUCUGCAGCAAGUUGAGCACCAGGGCGAGCAGCACCCCCACGGUGAAGAGCACCAGCCCCCGCCGGAUAAGGUUGAACGUCCGGUCCCGCUGCAGGGAGCCGUGGGCGCUGCUCAGCACCGAGGCGAUGACCGACAUCAUCUCCCCGCCUUUGGACGCCAACCAGCCGGAGGAGGACGGCGAGUGUUUGCUCUCCACGCUCGGCGCACAGGAGCAGCUCCAGCAGGGCUCCUCCAGGCUGGACAUUUGGCACUUCUUAAAGCUGGGCGUCGAGUUGGUUAGUUCCUCGUCAUGACGCUGGCAGGAAAGAAGGAGACAUGAAAGACCGAAGGAGGCAUUUAAAGGUGUCACUGGUCGGAGGAAGCUUCCACCACUGAGGCCACACGAUCACAGCUGUGUAGGGUGAGACUCGGCAGCCAAUCAGGGGCCGGCGUCUGAUAUGACGUCACUUCACCCCACCUCUCCACGCGCCACAACAACAUUUUUUUCUUUCUUUUACGCAGGGGCGUCACUAGCUUUUAAGGACAGGGGGGGAGAUGAACAGGAUGUGAGCGAACGUAACGCACGAGUACAAAACUUUACAAACGUCUAACAAAGACCUAGAAAUUCCAUCCAUCCAUCUUCUUCCGCUUAUCCGAGGUCGGGUCGCGGGGGCAGCAGCCUAAGCAGGGAAGCCCAUUGAUUGAUUGAUUGAUACUUUUAUUAGUAGAUUGCACAGUUCAGUACAUAUUCCGUACAAUUGACCACUAAAUGGUAACACCCGAAUACGUUUUUCAACUUGUUUAAGUUAAUCAAUUCAUGGUAGACUUCCCUCAGGGGUGUCAAACUCAAAUACAAAGUGGGCCAAAAUUUGAAACCGAACAAAGCCGCGGGCCAAGGUUGAACAAAUUAACCUUUUAAUAGGGACCCAAACAAUUUUUGCAUUGAAUAUUGAACAAGCAAGGCUUAUAUAACUUUAUAGUGACAAGCAAAAUCGAGUUUCAAGUUAUAAUAAUAAUAAUUAAAAAAUCUUAUUGGCAUCCAUCCAUCCAUUUUCUACCGCUUAUUCCCUUUUGGGGUCGCGGGGGGCGCUGGCGCCUAUCUCAGCUACAAUCAGGCGGAAGGCAGGGUACACCCUGGACAAGUCGCCACCUCAUCGCAGGGCCAACACAGAUAGACAGACAACAUUCACACUCACAUUCACACACUAUCAAAUAAAAUUUAAAUAAGAAUUGGAGGUAGCGGGGGUGUAUAUUGUAGCACCUCGGAAGAGUUAGUGCUGCAAGGGGGUCUGGGUAUUUCUUCUGUUGUGUUUAUCUCAGUAGAAGCAUUUAAGUCUCACCUUAAAACUCAUUUGCAUACUCUAGCCUUUAAAUAGACUCCCUUUUUAGACCAGUUGAUCUGCCGUUUCUUUUCUUUUUCUCCUAUGUCCCACUCUCCAUUGUGGAGGGGGUCCGGUCCGAUCCGGUGGCCAUGUACUGCUUGCCUGUGUAUCGGCUUGGGACAUCUCUGCGCUGCUGAUCCGCCUCCGCUUGGGAUGGUUUCCUGCUGGCUCCGCUGUGAACGGGACUCUCGCUGCUGUGUUGGAUCCGCUUUGGACUGGACUCUCGCGGCUGUAUUGGAUCCAUUAUGGAUUGAACUUUCACAGUAUCAUGUUAGACCCGCUCGACAUCCAUUGCUUUCGUCCUCUCCAAGGUUAUCACAGUCAUCAUUGUCACCGACGUCCCACUGGGUGUGAGUUUUCCUUGCCCUUAUGUGGGCCUACCGAGGAUGUCGUAGUGGUUUGUGUUGUGCUUUGUGCAGCCCUUUGAGACACUAGUGAUUUAGGGCUAUAUAAGUAAACAUUGAUUGAUUGAUUGAUGUUGUGUUACGGUGCGGAUGUUCUCCCAAAAGGUGUUUGUCAUUCUUGUUUGGUGUGGGUUCACAGUGUGGCGCAUAUUUGAAAUGGUGUUAAAGUUGUUUACACGGCCACCCUCAGUGUGACCUGUAUGGCUGUUGACCAAGUAUGCCUUGCAUUCACUUGUGUGUGUUAAAGCCGCAUGUAUUAUGUGACUGUGCUGGCAUGUUGUUUGUAUGGCGGAAAAGCGGACGUGACGGCAGGCUGUAGAGGACGCUAAAGGCAGUGCCUUCAAGACACACCCCCAGUAUUGUUGUCCGGGUGAACUUUAACUCCUCCCGCUGGAUCUUUCCUAGUUACCGAUCAACCUGACUAGGAUUUAAACCCAGUCCUCUUUGAUCGGGAGAUACCUGUUUUGACCACUCAGCCAUCCUUGGUCUUCUUAAAGGGAGAUUUCGGGCCCCAAUGAAAUUUUUAAUUGAUAACCUGUCUCAGUAAACUAUGAUAUAAAAGCUUUCCUAGUUACCGAUUGAUCUGACUAGGAUUUGAACCCAGUCCCUUUUGAUUGGGAGCGAGCUGUUUAACUAUUUUCAGGAGCGGCACUGAACUUCGGGAGUCUCCCGGGAAAAUCGUGAGGGUUGGCAAGUAUAAAGUAUCAGCGGUGAAUGCGGUGUUACAGAGGCACCGCCGCUGAAUAAUACCGGCGGGCCAGCUCUAAUCUUAAUUUGAUAUUACCAAAUGAACCUCGGGCCAUAGUUUGACACCCAUGGUCUAGCUCUUCCCGGGGGAUCCUGAAGCAUUCCCAGGCCAGCCGGGAGACAUAGUCUUCCCAACGUGUCCUGGGUCUUCCCCUUGGCCUCCUACAGGUCCGACGUGCCCUAAACACCUCCCUAGGGAGGCAUUCGGGUGGCAUCCUGACCAGAUGCCCGAACCACCUCAUCUGGCUCCUCUCGAUGUGGAGGAGCAGCGGCUUUACUUUGAGUUCCUCCCGGAUGGCAGAGCUUCUCACCCUAUCUCUAAGGGAGAGCCUUGCCACCCGGCGGAGGAAACUCGUUCAUCUGGCCGGGAUCUUCAGCUCUCACUGGAUCGGUUCGCAGCCGAGUGUGAAGCGAUUGGAAUGAGAAUCAGCACCUCCAAGUCCGAGUCCAUGGUUCUCACCCGGAAAAGGGUUGGGGGAGGAGCCCCUGCCCCAAGUGGAGGAGUUCAAGUACCUAGGAGUCUUGUUCACGAGUGAGGGAAGAGUGGAUCGACAGGCGGAUCGGUGCGGCGUCUUCAGUAAUGCGGACGUUGUACCGAUCCGUUGUGGUGAAGAAGGAGCUGAGCCGGAAGGCAAAGCUCUCAAUUUACCGGUCGAUCUACAUUCCCAUCCUCACCUAUGGUCAUGAGCUUUGGGUCAUGAUCGAAAGGAUAAGAUCACGGGUACAAGCGGCCAAAAUGAGUUUCCUCCACCGGGUGGCGGGGCUCUCCCUUAGAGAUAGGGUGAGAAGCUCUGACAUCCGGGAGGAACUCAAGGAAAGAGAAGAGACUCAGAAAUUAUUCUUUGUUAUUAUUAUUAUUUCAGUCGGUUAAGGAAAUUAAAUAUAUAUGGAAGUCAGAAUAGAAGUGAGAAACGUUUAUGUAUACUGCAAGAAAGACUUAGAGUCCGUCUGCUGAUCUGAAAAAGAGCCAAAGCUUUCAAAGAGCUGAGGGACCAUCUCCAAAGUGCAAUGCUGAAACCAAUAAUGCAAACAAUAAAAUGUAACUUCUAUAGGGCUUGAAAUUAAUGAUGUCCCGUCGUCCCGGGGAUGGUAAAAAAAAAAUGCACGGGACGACAAUGGCUUUCAACCAUUUUUUUCUUUUUCUCUUUAUGUAUUUAUUAAUUUUACAUUUUAUUUUAAAUGUCUUGGAUUUUCCUCCCUAUGAAAAUCCUAUGAAAUGUUUAACAAGCCAUCUUAUAAUAAUACAACAGCUAUUAAUGUAAUGUUGGAUUUGGUUGUCUUUUUAUUUCCUAGUCAGAUUUUAGGACAGCUAAAGUGUGAGGCUUUCCAUAGUCCUUGAAUUUGGAAUGUAGGCAUGAAGCCAUAACAAUCUGUUAUCUCAACUGUCCGAGGAAGGAGGGAGAAACUGCCAUUUUUAGGUUAGAUCAAUUUGGGCCAUGCAUUGAACUGUUGUAUCUAGAUUGAUCUCCCAAAGCGCUUUGGAUAUAAAAUAUCAAAAUGAGCAACCUCUGUCUCUGAUUGAUUUAAAACCAGUUUAUGUGUCAUAAAAAAAAAACCUGGGGGCCAUUGACUGAAGGAAAAAACAGGUCUAAAACGCAACAAUAACAAACCAAUGCAAUAAAACAAAUAUAUUUUUAA